CGUAGGGUGCGAGCGUUAAUCGGAAUUACUGGGCGUAAAGCGUGCGCAGGCGGUUUUGUAAGACAGAGGUGAAAUCCCCGGGCGUCAACCUGGGAACGUGCCUUUGUUGACUGCAAGGCUAGAGUACGGCAGAGGGGGAGUGGAAUUCCGCGUGUAGCAGUGAAAUGCGUAGAUAUGCGGAGGAACACCGAUGGCGAAGGCAAUCCCCUGGGCCUGUACUGACGCUCAUGCACGAAAGCGUGGGGAGCAAACAGGAUU
rnacentral:rRNA from 1 species